rnacentral:tRNA from 1 species
CAGGAAAUAGUUUAUUAAAAUAUUAAUUUUGGAGAUUAAAGAUGAAGUGUUUCUUUUUUCCUGA